rnacentral:lncRNA from 1 species
AGCUCCUGCUGCGGUGGCAGACAUGGGAGAGACACGCAAGCUGCAAAGGGAAGCAGAGUCAAAUUAAAGCCUCGCAACCACGGCUCGUGGCGCUGCGGAUGGGGCGUCCCUCCCUCCCUCGGCUUGAUGAAGGUGGGUGUGAGAUCCCACAGGACUGUCUGGAAGAGAGCCCGUGGAAGUCACUGUAUUUUGCAGAAGCUGGAGGCGAAGCAGAAGAUUGCAGCCUGACACUUCUGCCUCUUUUCCCUCUGGGCAUAUCUUCCUGGGUCUUUGCAGGUCAUGGCUAGACUGUUGUGGUGGGGUAACUGAAACAAACUGACGAGAUUGAUGGAAAAAAUCAAAAAGCAAGGGUGGAAUUUCAAAGCCUGGAUCAUAGAAGAAGGAAUGUUGCAUGACAAAAGCUGCUGAGGCAGAGCUGAGAACAGAAAUCCAGAGGAGAGACAGUGCCCAUACGCAAUGUUCCAAGUGAGUGUGGAGAAGAGAAAUUGUCUAACACCUUCCAGUUCAAGAAUAACCGCAUAUGACAUGACUCCAAGGGGGAAAAUAGAACAAGGCUACGGUGGCUGAGGAAAUCAAGACAGCAGCUGGAAAAGAACUGUUUUGAAAGCCCAGUGGUGCUUCACCCCAUCCCUGUGAUGGUGGGGACAUCACAU